rnacentral:rRNA from 1 species
UACGGGGGGGGCAAGCGUUGUUCGGAAUUACUGGGCGUAAAGGGCUCGUAGGUGGCCAACUAAGUCAGACGUGAAAUCCCUCGGCUUAACCGGGGAACUGCGUCUGAUACUGGAUGGCUUGAGUUUGGGAGAGGGACGCGGAAUUCCAGGUGUAGCGGUGAAAUGCGUAGAUAUCUGGAGGAACACCGGUGGCGAAGGCGGCAUCCUGGACCGGCAUUGACGCUGAGGCGCGAAAGCGUGGGGAGCAAACAGG